CCUACGGGAGACAGCAGUGGGGAAUAUUGCACAAUGGGGGAAACCCUGAUGCAGCGAUGCCGCGUGGAGGAAGAAGGUUUUCGGAUUGUAAACUCCUUUUAUCAGGGACGAUAAUGACGUUACCUUACGAAAAAGCUCCGGCUAACUACGUGCCAUCAGCCGCGGCACUACGAAGGGAGCGAGCGUGGUCCGGACUUACUGGGUGUAAAGGGAGCGUAGGCGGGACGGCAAGUCAGAUGUGAAAACUGAGGGCUCAACCUUCAGACUGCAUUUGAAACUGGUGUUCUUGAGUGAAGUAGAGGUAAGCGGAACUCCUGGUGUAGCGGUGAAAUGCGUAGAUAUUAGGAAGAACAUCGGUGGCGAAGGCGGCUUACUGGGCUUUUACUGACGCUGAGGCUCGAAAGCGUGGGGAGCAAACAGGAUUAGAUACCCGGGUAGUC
rnacentral:rRNA from 1 species